UAAAAUUUGAGCAAAACUUCAAAUUAAAAAUUGAUUGAAAAGUACUUAAUUAAAAACACAAAUUUAUCUGUAAGACUAAUUGGAAUAGUAGGAUGAUUUAUGUACGUUGCAGGGACGACACUUGAAUCCGACGAAAUACCGCCUCUACAAUAGCAUUCCAAACAUAAUUUUUAGUUUAUUUUUAGCUAGCACAACAAAAAAUUGCCGUCAAGGUUCAUUGCAAAAUCCUUUCUUACCAAUCAUUUAUGUGUUAACUUGCAGUGUCUUUUUGGAUUAUUGGUGGCGUGCGUCAUGAUGUUGUUACGCAAAUGGAGAGACCUACUGUUUGAAGCCCACUCUGAACGGCAGAUAUUUUUUAAACGGAACUUUUUGCUAUUGCCUGCCGAGAGGCGGCCGCUUUAGAAAAAACUUCUUCAUUUUGGUGUUUUUCUUUUUAAAUAAAAGGUUUUCCAAUCAGA